CACGUAGGGCGCGAGCGUUGUCCGGAAUUAUUGGGCGUAAAGAGCUCGUAGGCGGCCUGUUGCGUCCGCUGUGAAAGCCCGGGGCUUAACCCCGGGUCGGCAGUGGAUACGGGCAGGCUAGAGGUAGGUAGGGGAGAAUGGAAUUCCCGGUGUAGCGGUGAGAUGCGCAGAUAUCGGGAGGAACACCGGUGGCGAAGGCGGUUCUCUGGGCCGAUACUGACGCUGAGGAGCGAAAGCGUGGGGAGCGAACAGG
rnacentral:rRNA from 1 species